rnacentral:rRNA from 1 species
UACGGGGGGGGCAAGCGUUGUUCGGAAUUACUGGGCGUAAAGGGCGCGUAGGCGGCCCGCUAAGUCGAACGUGAAAUCCCCAGGCUCAACCUGGGAACUGCAUCCGGAUACUGGAUGGCUUGAAUCCGGGAGAGGGAUGCGGAAUUCCAGGUGUAGCGGUGAAAUGCGUAGAUAUCUGGAGGAACACCGGGUGGCGAAGGCGGCAUCCUGGACCGGCAGUUG